CCUACGUGGACAUCCUGUGAGGUUGCUCUCACAUGGCUCUGUCCUUGUGGCGUAUGGGAGCGUAGCAUUUCAGUGCUGUGACGUACAGUCCCGUUCCACGACGUUGGAGAGCAAACUUUGUCCCUGGCCAUUGGGCUGGUGAGGACGGUGUUCUGUAUAUUCCUACAUCUUCCCAGAGCCCUUUGGGCCAUGACUGGGGGGCUAAACCAUGCAGUGCAUAGUU
ensembl:snoRNA SNORA73 Small nucleolar RNA SNORA73 family